AAAACUAAUAUUUCGAUUGGUGGAAUGAUAGGGUAACGCCUUGAAACGCCACUUUAAUACUCCGAAUAGCGAAAAUAUUGUUAAGAAUAUUUUGGUUAUAAGCUCGGUGAAGUCGGCAGAGAAUUGCCCUAAUGAUUAAAAAAUAAUCAAGGAAAGUGUCCUAGAGGUAGGAUAUGCAAUCUAUAUGUCGGAAGUCUAUAAA
rnacentral:ncRNA from 1 species